rnacentral:rRNA from 1 species
AUUGAACGCUGGCGGCAGGCCUAACACAUGCAAGUCGAGCGGAUGAAGGGAGCUUGCUCCUGGAUUCAGCGGCGGACGGGUGAGUAAUGCCUAGGAAUCUGCCUGGUAGUGGGGGAUAACGUCCGGAAACGGGCGCUAAUACCGCAUACGUCCUGAGGGAGAAAGUGGAGGAUCUUCGGACCUCACGCUAUCAGAUGAGCCUAGGUCGGAUUAGCUAGUUGGUGGGGUAAAGGCCUACCAAGGCGACGAUCCGUAACUGGUCUGAGAGGAUGAUCAGUCACACUGGAACUGAGACACGGUCCAGACUCCUACGGGAGGCAGCAGUGGGGAAUAUUGGACAAUGGGCGAAAGCCUGAUCCAGCCAUGCCGCGUGUGUGAAGAAGGUCUUCGGAUUGUAAAGCACUUUAAGUUGGGAGGAAGAGCAGUAAGUUAAUACCUUGCUGUUUUGACGUUACCAACAGAAUAAGCACCGGCUAACUUCGUG